AUUGAACGCUGGCGGCAGGCCUAACACAUGCAAGUCGAACGAGUGGCGGACGGGUGAGUAAUGUCUGGGAAACUGCACGAUGGAGCGGGAUAACUACUGGAAACGGUAGCUAAUACCGCAUACCAUGGGAUGUGCCCAGAUGGGCGUAGUUAGUGGGGGGGGUAACGGCUCACCUAGGCGACCAUCCCUAGCUGGUCUGAGAGGAGGACCAGCCACACUGGAGCUGAGACACGGUCCAGACUCCUACGGGAGGCAGCAGUGGGGAAUAUAGGACAAUGGGCGCAAGGCUGAUGCAGCCAUGCCGCGGGUAGGAAGAAGGCCUUCGGGUUGUAAAGUACUUUCAGCGAGGAGGCGUUACUCGCAGAAGAAGCACCGGCUAACACCGUGCCAGCAGCCGCGGUAAUUC
rnacentral:rRNA from 1 species